rnacentral:lncRNA from 1 species
UCAUCACAACUGUAUUGUCACUGACGUUGCAUUUCAGAUAAAUUUGAUGAUAAUAUCACAUUUUUUUAAAGGAGGAAAAAAAUCAAUAAUUUUGUCUACAGACUUUGCAUUAUAUUCCAGUUACUUGAAAGAAAAUGUCAUGUGCAUCAACUCAUUCUUCAGGAUGUACUUUCUGAAAAGAUGUGGAUAAUAUUACAUAGACUAAGGGGAACACAGCUACGUUUGAGCUGCUUUAAGGCAAUGGUCCAUGUGCAUGCCCUACCAUGUGGAACUCUGUUGAGAAUCAGAGUUU